rnacentral:rRNA from 1 species
GUUGUAUGGUUAAGUGACUAAGCGUACACGGUGGAUGCCUGGGCAGUCAGAGGCGAUGAAGGACGUACUAACUUGCGAUAAGCGCAGAUAAGGCAGUAAGAGCCGUUUGAGUCUGCGAUUUCCGAAUGGGGAAACCCAACUGCAUAAGCAGUUACUGUUAACUGAAUACAUAGGUUAACAGAGCAAACCGGGGGAACUGAAACAUCUAAGUACCCCGAGGAGAAGAAAUCAACCGAGAUUCCGGUAGUAGCGGCGAGCGAACCUGGAUUAGCCCUUAAGCACUCGGUGAAGUAGGUGAACAAGCUGGAAAGCUUGGCGAUACAGGGUGAUAGCCCCGUAACCGACGCUUCAUCGAGCGUGAAAUCGAGUAGGGCGGGACACGUGAUAUCCUGUCUGAAUAUGGGGGGACCAUCCUCCAAGGCUAAAUACUCCUGACUGACCGAUAGUGAACCAGUACCGUGAGGGAAAGGCGAAAAGAACCCCUGUGAGGGGAGUGAAAUAGAACCUGAAACCGUGUACGUACAAGCAGUAGGAGCACCUUCGUGGUGUGACUGCGUACCUUUUGUAUAAUGGGUCAGCGACUUAUAUUCAGUGGCAAGGUUAACCGUAUAGGGGAGCCGUAGCGAAAGCGAGUCUUAACUGGGCGCUCAGUCUCUGGAUAUAGACCCGAAACCGGGUGAUCUAGCCAUGGGCAGGUUGAAGGUUGAGUAACAUCAACUGGAGGACCGAACCGACUAAUGUUGAAAAAUUAGCGGAUGACUUGUGGCUAGGGGUGAAAGGCCAAUCAAACUCGGAGAUAGCUGGUUCUCCCCGAAAGCUAUUUAGGUAGCGCCUCGGACGAAUACUACUGGGGGUAGAGCACUGUUAAGGCUAGGGGGUCAUCCCGACUUACCAACCCUUUGCAAACUCCGAAUACCAGUAAGUACUAUCCGGGAGACACACGGCGGGUGCUAACGUCCGUCGUGGAGAGGGAAACAACCCAGACCGCCAGCUAAGGUCCCAAAGUAUUGCUAAGUGGGAAACGAUGUGGGAAGGCUCAGACAGCUAGGAUGUUGGCUUAGAAGCAGCCAUCAUUUAAAGAAAGCGUAAUAGCUCACUAGUCGAGUCGGCCUGCGCGGAAGAUGUAACGGGGCUAAGCAAUACACCGAAGCUGCGGCAAUAUCUUUUAGAUAUUGGGUAGGGGAGCGUUCUGUAAGCCGUUGAAGGUGAAUCGUAAGGUUUGCUGGAGGUAUCAGAAGUGCGAAUGCUGACAUGAGUAACGACAAAGGGGGUGAAAAACCUCCUCGCCGGAAGACCAAGGGUUCCUGUCCAACGUUAAUCGGGGCAGGGUGAGUCGACCCCUAAGGUGAGGCCGAAAGGCGUAAUCGAUGGGAAACGGGUUAAUAUUCCCGUACUUCUGACUAUUGCGAUGGGGGGACGGAGAAGGCUAGGUGGGCCAGGCGACGGUUGUCCUGGUUCAAGUGCGUAGGCUUGAGAGUUAGGUAAAUCCGGCUCUCUCUAAGGCUGAGACACGACGUCGAGCUGCUACGGCAGUGAAGUCAUUGAUGCCAUGCUUCCAGGAAAAGCCUCUAAGCUUCAGAUAGUCAGGAAUCGUACCCCAAACCGACACAGGUGGUCGGGUAGAGAAUACCAAGGCGCUUGAGAGAACUCGGGUGAAGGAACUAGGCAAAAUGGUACCGUAACUUCGGGAGAAGGUACGCUCUUGAUGGUGAAGUCCCUCGCGGAUGGAGCUGACGAGAGUCGCAGAUACCAGGUGGCUGCAACUGUUUAUUAAAAACACAGCACUGUGCAAAAUCGCAAGAUGACGUAUACGGUGUGACGCCUGCCCGGUGCCGGAA